CUCCCGAUAUUCGUCGGAGCCGCGGAAGUCCUCCACGGCCCGACUUAUUGCCUCUUUCGCCGACUCUGCCUCCGCCCUCGUUAUGUCUGCAUCGACUUGAGCGGAGGAUAAAUUCUCCUCGAUCUUGGUGAGAUUUUCCAAACUUAUCUAGAGCUGCUCGCAUUCGGCUUUGAGUUCACCGACGUAGUCAUCCCGCUCGCGGCACAGCCGGCGAAGGGUGCAGGACUUUCGUUUGGCUUCCUCGC
rnacentral:lncRNA from 1 species